CCUACGGGAGGCAGCAGUGGGGAAUAUUGCACAAUGGGGGAAACCCUGAUGCAGCGACGCCGCGUGAGUGAAGAAGUAUUUCGGUACGUAAAGCUCUAUCAGCCGGGAAGCAAAAAAGUCCUUUGGACUUUGGACGGUACCUGACCAAGAAGCCCCGGCUAACUACGUGCCAGCAGCCGCGGUCAGACGUAGGGGGCAAGCGGUAUACGGAUUUACUGGGUGGAAAGGGAGCGUAGACGGGAGCACAAGUCUGGAGUGAAUUGCCGGGGCCCAACCCCGGAACUGCUUUGGAAACUGUGCAGCUGGAGUGCAGGAGAGGUAAGCGGAAUUCCUAGUGUAGCGGUGAAAUGCGUAGAUAUUAGGAGGAACACCAGUGGCGAAGGCGGCUUACUGGACUGUAACUGACGUUGAGGCUCGAAAGCGUGGGGAGCAAACAGGAUUAGAUACCCUAGUAGUC
rnacentral:rRNA from 1 species